CACGGGGGGAGCAAGCGUUGUUCGGAAUCACUGGGCGUAAAGGGCGUGUAGGCGGUCAGGUAAGUGGGAUGUGAAAGCCCUCGGCUCACCCGAGGAUCUGCAUCUCAAACUGCCUGGCUUGAGUAUGGGAGAGGAUGAGGGAAUUCCAGGUGUAGCGGUGAAAUGCGUAGAUAUCUGGAGGAACACCGGUGGCGAAGGCGGCAUCCUGGACCGGCAUUGACGCUGAGGCGCGAAAGCUAGGGGAGCAAACGGG
rnacentral:rRNA from 1 species